UCUCCCUCACCCUCUCCCUCUUCAUCUCUCCCUCACCCUCCCUCUGCCUCUUCCCCAUCCUCCCCCUCUCUCACCUUCAAAGUUCACCAAACCGUCCCCUUUUCUCAUUGAAAGCAUCCCUGAGCUCCUUCACUCCUAUCAUGUCUGCUUUAUCUGCCAACAUCUUAGGACCCAUCAGCUCCAGAAAGUCCACUCUGCUGCCACCUAGAGGAGGCUGAAAGGGAUUAGUAGAGAUGGGUGAAGGAGAUUUAGUUAACCAUUAACAGAUAACAUUUAUGGUGGUACAAAGUGUCACAAACCAAACCUGUUUUGAAGGAACACAUUUCAUACUCUACAGUUUCUAGAGCUCUGUUUACAGUCAAUAUUAGCAGAGAACUCACAAGUAAAGCUCAACUAGUCGGUUAAGAGGAAGGGGCACCGGGUGGGCUUCUCCCAGAUUGAUAUGGGACUAGACCAGUCCUCUUCAGGAUUGUGAGUCCUCUCUGAGAGUUCUAAUGAGUUAUCAGAUUGAUAUGGGACUAGACUAGUCCUCUUCAGGAUUGUGAGACCUCCUCUCUGAGUUUUAUAAUGAGUUAUCAGCAGGGGGCUGAGGGUGGUGCCAUCACUAAAGAAAGACAGAAAGAUGGGUCACCAAACAAGGAUCUUGAUGAGACCAUGGACCCUGAUAUGAGUGUCCUUCUGGAGAGUGCAGAGUCACCGACUCUGAGUGAUGCAUCAGCAAAUAGUCAUCAGUCAAUGGAUACGGAUGAGGAGGACUCAGCUCAAAAAGAGAAGAACAAUUUGAAGCAUCUACAGCUAUGUACAGCUAGUCAUAUGUCUAUGAGUGACCACAUUGACCAGUCAGUGAAUUUGAGCAUAGACCCAAGUGAUGAUGGAGACCAAACCAAGGAUGAAAGGUAAACCAGCAACACAUGCAAUAUUACAUGGAGUUGUAUGACAUACACUACAUGACCAAAAGUAUGUGGACACCUGCUCGUCGAACAUCUCAUUCCAAAAUCAUGGGCCUUACUAUGGAGUUGGUCCCCCCUUUGCUUCUAUAACAGCCUCCACUUUUCUGGGAAGGCUAUCCACUAGACGUUGGAACA
rnacentral:lncRNA from 8 species